UACAGAGGUCCCGAGCGUUGUUCGGAUUUAUUGGGCGUAAAGGGUGCGUAGGCGGCGGAGUAAGUUGGGUGUGAAAUCCCGGGGCUCAACCUCGGAAUUGCAUUCAAUACUGCUUCGCUCGAGUACUGGAGAGGAGGCUGGAAUUUACGGUGUAGCAGUGAAAUGCGUAGAUAUCGUAAGGAAGGCCGGUGGCGAAAGCGAGCCUCUGGACAGUUACUGACGCUGAUGCACGAAGGCCAGGGGGAGCAAACGGGG
rnacentral:rRNA from 1 species